rnacentral:rRNA from 1 species
UACAGAGGGUGCGAGCGUUGUUCGGAAAUAUUGGGCGUAAAGGGCGCGUAGGCGGUGCGGUAAGUCACCUGUGAAAUCUCCUGGCUCAACUGGGAGCUUGCAGGCGAAACUGCCGUGCUGGAGUGUGGGAGAGGUGCGUGGAAUUCCCGGUGUAGCGGUGAAAUGCGCAGAUAUCAGGAAGAACACCCGUGGCGAAGGCGGCUCUCUGGGACGGUACUGACGCUGAGACGCGAAAGCGUGGGGAGCGAACAGG